CCUGGUUCUGAUUGAUAAAAACCUCUGUGUCAGGAUCUGGUCACAUGAAGAACUGGAUAACCAACCCCAAGAGCCAGAAGUGGACAAUAUCCAUGUAAAUACCACCCAAAAAGAGGAACCAGCUGAUAAAACCUAUGUGGAAGCCUGUGCAGAAAGGCCAUGCCCUAACAUACUGUGUGAAACCUGGAAGAGGACCCUGAACUCUAAAAAGGAAUACAGCCCAGCUGACACCUUGAUUUGAACCUUGU